GAGUUUGAUCCUGGCUCAAGUUGAACGCUGGCGGCAUGGUUAAAACAUGCAAGUCGAACGCGAACGGCUUCGGCCUAGUAGAGUGGCGAAAGGGCGAGGAAUAAGUAACUAACGUGCCUUCAGGUGAAGGAUAGCUCAGGGAAACUUGUGGUAAUACUUCAUAAUCCCGGCGGGUCGUAUGGCCUGCCGGGCAAAGGCUUGCUGCCUGAAGAUCGGGGUACUUCCUAUCAGCUUGUUGGUAAGGUAAUGGCUCACCAAGGCUAAGACGGCUAGCGGGUGUGAGAGCACGGCCCGCCGCAUCGGGACUGAGACACUGCCCGGACUCCUACGGGAGGCUGCAGUAACGAAUAUUCCGCAAUGCGCGAAAGCGUGACGGAGCAAUGCCGCGUGUGGGAUGAAGCAUCUCGGUGUGUAAACCACUGUCAGGGUACAGGAACACAAUGACCAUACCCAGAGGAAGAGCCGGCUAACUCUGUGCCAGCAGCCGCGGUAAUACAGAGGGCUCAAGCGUUAAUCGGAAUCACUGGGCUUAAAGGGUCCGCAGGCGGAUCGGUAAGUAUCUUGUGAAAUACCAUAGCUCAACUAUGGAAUUGCUCGGUAAACUGCCAAUCUUGAACACAGUAGGGGCCAUCGGAACUCUAGGUGGAGCGGUGAAAUGCGUAGAUAUCUAGAGGAACGCCAGAGGCGAAGGCGGAUGGCUGGGCUGUUGUUGACGCUCAGGGACGAAAGCAUGGGUAGCGAACGGGAUUAGAUACCCCGGUAGUCCAUGCCCUAAACGAUGUGCACUAGGUCGCGGAGGGUUUGACCCCAUCGCGGCUGAAGUUAAAAUAUUAAGUGCACCGCCUGGGGAGUACGGUCGCAAGGCUAAAACUCAAAGGAAUUGACGGGGGCUCACACAAGCGGUGGAGCAUGUGGCUUAAUUCGAAGCAACGCGAAGAACCUUAUCCAGGGUUUGACAUGUAUGGAUUAUUGAUCUGAAAAGUGAGUGACGCCCUUUGGGUGGAACAUACACAGGUGCUGCAUGGCUGUCGUCAGCUCGUGCUGUGAAGUGUUGGGUUAAGUCCCUUAACGAGCGAAACCCUUAUCGUUAGUUGCCAGCGCGUAAUGGCGGGGACUCUAGAGAGACUGCCGGUGUUAAACCGGAGGAAGGCGGGGAUGACGUCAAGUCCUCAUGGCCUUUAUGUCCAGGGCUGCACACGUGCUACAAUGGGAAUUACAAAGUGAAGCGAUACAGUAAUGUGGAGCAAAUCGCAUAAAAGUUUCCUCAGUUCGGAUUGUGGUCUGCAACUCGACCACAUGAAGUUGGAAUCGCUAGUAAUCGCGUAUCAGCUACGACGCGGUGAAUACGUUCCUGAGCCUUGUACACACCGCCCGUCAAGUCAUGGAAGCUGGAAGCACCCGAAGGCGCACUAAUUCAAGUAUUCCUACGGUGAGUUUGGUGACUGGGACUAAGUCGUAACAAGGUAGC
rnacentral:rRNA from 1 species